ACGAACGCUGGCGGCAGGCUUAACACAUGCAAGUCGAACGCUCAUAGCAAUAUGGGAGUGGCGCACGGGUGAGUAACGCGUGGGAACGUGCCUUUUAGUUUGGAAUAACACCGGGAAACUGGUGCUAAUGCCAAAUACGCCCUUCGGGGGAAAGAUUUAUCGCUAAAAGAUCGGCCCGCGUCAGAUUAGCUAGUUGGUGGGGUAAUGGCCUACCAAGGCUCCGAUCUGUAGCUGUUCUGAGAGGAAGAUCAGCCACACUGGAACUGAGACACGGUCCAGACUCCUACGGGAGGCAGCAGUGGGGAAUAUUGGACAAUGGGGGAAACCCUGAUCCAGCCAUGCCGCGUGAGUGAUGAAGGCCUUAGGGUUGUAAAGCUCUUUUACCAGGGAAGAUGAUGACGGUACCUGGAGAAUAAGCACCGGCUAACUUCGUGCCAGCAGCCGCGGUAAUU
rnacentral:rRNA from 1 species